UACGGGGGGAGCAAGCGUUGUUCGGAUUUACUGGGCGUAAAGGGCGCGUAGGCGGUCGUGACAAGUCACUUGUGAAAUCUCCGGGCUUAACUCGGAACGGUCAAGUGAUACUGUCGGACUACGAGUACAGAAGGGGCAACUGGAAUUCUCGGUGUAGCGGUGAAAUGCGUAGAUAUCGAGAGGAACACCUGCGGCGAAGGCGGGUUGCUGGGCUGAUACUGACGCUGAGGCGCGAAAGCCAGGGGAGCGAACAGG
rnacentral:rRNA from 1 species